ensembl:lncRNA
AUGCUGGCAUUGUUUGGACUAUUUAACAAAAACUUGCAGGUUCUCUGCUUUUCUCAGAAUUCUGCAGGAAUGGAGAGAAUCGAGUCCUCUGUGAUUUCUGCCUGUUUCAUCACGUGUUUAGCGUUCGCAGGCUUGGUGGGAAUGGGGAAGGCCUGGUCGGCGCCAGAAAAGUGUAGGAGACUUCCAUGUGACAAAGUCACUUUUGAUGCCACUGUUUAUGAAUCUUGUGUUGAGCCGUUCACUCAGACCAUGGCAAACACUGACUACCAACUCAGAUGUCCCUGGCCAAGCACUAGAAGAUAUUCAGAAGUGUGCAACGCAUGUUAUGGAGGACUGUUUCCUGGUCCUGGGAGAGAAGACUACCAUGCCGGCUGUUCUGACUCACAGCCUGUAAGUACGUUUACAUAUUUAAACGAUUUGCCACUGAUGAUUCAAACAAGAGUUCUGAGUAUGUUUACACGGCGGGGUGCAACGCAUAAAAAGACAGUAUAAGUCAUUUUAAUCUGUAAUUAUGUCCCCAUUGGAUGCCACAAUUAUCGUAUGUAAAGGGUUUUAAUGUUUUUGUUUCGUCGCGCCGGUGUUCUGACCGGGACACGCAUCACAGUAUAGUAAGGGGCGUAACAUUUCCGCCACACUGAAUGCUUGAGGCAUUCAGCCAAUCACAAUGCACUGGAUAGCUGGCCAAUCAGAGCACACUUCGCUUUUCAGAGCGAUGAGCUUUGUAAAAAUCGACACUUUUCCGAAGGCGGGGCAUAGAGGAGCAACAGUAAUGUACAGUAUGUGGAAAAUAAUGUGUUUUUUAACCUUAAAUCCCAUAAACACAUUUUAUUACACCAAAUACACAAAAUAAUGGUCUUUUUAGCAACAUCAUAUUACCCCUUUAACUAAAAAUCUAAAUGUAUUGUUAAUUGUAAUAUAGUGUUUGAAUAUAUAUAUAUAAAAACAAAAUACUUUUUGCCUUGAAAACUAACAGAAAGAAAUUGAAGCACUAACUUACUAACUGUAAAAACAAUAAUAAUAAAAUAAAUACAUAAAAAACA